CAGAGGCGAUGAAGGGCGUGCUAAUCUGCGAUAAGCGCCGGUAAGGUGAUAUGAACCGUUAUAACCGGCGAUACCCGAAUGGGGAAACCCAGUGUGAUUCGUCACACUAUCAUUAACUGAAUCCAUAGGUUAAUGAGGCGAACCGGGGGAACUGAAACAUCUAAGUACCCCGAGGAAAAGAAAUCAACCGAGAUUCCCCCAGUAGCGGCGAGCGAACGGGGAGGAGCCCAGAGCCUGAAUCAGCAUGUGUGUUAGUGGAAGCGUCUGGAAAGGCGCGCGAUACAGGGUGACAGCCCCGUACACAAAAGCGCAUGUGCUGUGAGCUCGAUGAGUAGGGCGGGACACGUGGUAUCCUGUCUGAAUAUGGGGGGACCAUCCUCCAAGGCUAAAUACUCCUGACUGACCGAUAGUGAACCAGUACCGUGAGGGAAAGGCGAAAAGAACCCCGGCGAGGGGAGUGAAAAAGAACCUGAAACCGUGUACGUACAAGCAGUGGGAGCACCCUUUGGGUGUGACUGCGUACCUUUUGUAUAAUGGGUCAGCGACUUAUAUUCUGUAGCAAGGUUAACCGAAUAGGGGAGCCGGAGGGAAACCGAGUCUUAAUUGGGCGUUAAGUUGCAGGGUAUAGACCCGAAACCCGGUGAUCUAGCCAUGGGC
rnacentral:rRNA from 1 species